GUGCCAGCAGCCGCGGUAAGACGAACCGUGCGAACGUUGUUCGGAAUCACUGGGCUCAAAGGGCGCGUAGGCGGGCCGCAAAGUCAGGGGUGAAAUCCUCCAGCUUAACUGGAGAACUGCCUUUGAUACUGGCGGCCUGGAGUAAGGUAGGGGCAUGCGGAACUGAUGGUGGAGCGGUGAAAUGUGUUGAUAUCAUCAGGAACUCCGGUGGCGAAAGCGGCGUGCUGGACCUUUACUGACGCUGAGGGACGAAAGCUAGGGGAGCAAACAGGAUUAGAUACCCCAGUAGUCC
rnacentral:rRNA from 1 species